rnacentral:rRNA from 1 species
ACGGCCCAGACUCCUACGGGAGGCAGCAGUAGGGAAUCUUCCGCAAUGGACGAAAGUCUGACGGAGCAACGCCGCGUGAGUGAUGAAGGUUUUCGGAUCGUAAAGCUCUGUUGUUAGGGAAGAACAAGUGCCGUUCAAAUAGGGCGGCACCUUGACGGUACCUAACCAGAAAGCCACGGCUAACUACGUGCCAGCAGCCGCGGUAAUACGUAGGUGGCAAGCGUUGUCCGGAAUUAUUGGGCGUAAAGGGCUCGCAGGCGGUUUCUUAAGUCUGAUGUGAAAGCCCCCCGGCUCAACCGGGGAGGGUCAUUGGAAACUGGGGAACUUGAGUGCAGAAGAGGAGAGUGGAAUUCCACGUGUAGCGGUGAAAUGCGUAGAGAUGUGGAGGAACACCAGUGGCGAAGGCGACUCUCUGGUCUGUAACUGACGCUGAGGAGCGAAAGCGUGGGGAGCGAACAGGAUUAGAUACCCUGGUAGUCCACGCCGUAAACGAUGAGUGCUAAGUGUUAGGGGGUUUCCGCCCCUUAGUGCUGCAGCUAACGCAUUAAGCACUCCGCCUGGGGAGUACGGUCGCAAGACUGAAACUCAAAGGAAUUGACGGGGGCCCGCACAAGCGGUGGAGCAUGUGGUUUAAUUCGAAGCAACGCGAAGAACCUUACCAGGUCUUGACAUCCUCUGACACCCCUAGAGAUAGGGCUUCCCCUUCGGGGGCAGAGUGACAGGUGGUGCAUGGUUGUCGUCAGCUCGUGUCGUGAGAUGUUGGGUUAAGUCCCGCAACGAGCGCAACCCUUGAUCUUAGUUGCCAGCAUUCAGUUGGGCACUCUAAGGUGACUGCCGGUGACAAACCGGAGGAAGGUGGGGAUGAC